AGCAGCCGCGGUAAUUCCAGCUCCAAUAGCGUAUAUUAAAGUUGUUGCAGUUAAAAAGCUCGUAGUUGAAUUUCGGGGUUAGUAGGUUGGUCGUGCCUUUGGUAUGUACUGGUCUCACUGAUUCCUCCUUCUUGAAGAACUGUAAUGUCAUUAAUUUGGUGUUGCAGGGAAACAGGACUGUUACUUUGAAAAAAUUAGAGUGUUUAAAGCAGGCUAACGCCUGAAUACAUUAGCAUGGAAUAAUGAAAUAGGACGUUUGAUCCUAUUUUGUUGGUUUCUAGGAUUGACGUAAUGAUUAAUAGGGAUAGUUGGGGGCAUUAGUAUUCAAUUGUCAGAGGUGAAAUUCUUGGAUUUAUUGAAGACUGACUACUGCGAAAGCAUUUGCCAAGGAUGUUUUCAUUAAUCAAGAACGAAAGUUAGGGGAUCGAAGACGAUCAGAUACCGUCGUAGUCUUAACCAUAAACUAUGCCGACUAGGGAUCGGAUGAUGUUAAUUUUUAAUGACUCAUUCGGCGCCUUAC
rnacentral:rRNA from 1 species